rnacentral:rRNA from 1 species
AACGAACGCUGGCGGCAUGCCUAACACAUGCAAGUCGAACGAGACCUUCGGGUCUAGUGGCGCACGGGUGCGUAACGCGUGGGAACCUGCCUUUAGGUUCGGAAUAACUCAGAGAAAUUUGAGCUAAUACCGGAUGAUGUCUUCGGACCAAAGAUUUAUCGCCUUUAGAUGGGCCCGCGUUGGAUUAGCUAGUUGGUGGGGUAAAGGCCUACCAAGGCGACGAUCCAUAGCUGGUCUGAGAGGAUGAUCAGCCACACUGGGACUGAGACACGGCCCAGACUCCUACGGGAGGCAGCAGUGGGGAAUAUUGGACAAUGGGCGAAAGGCUGAUCCAGCAAUGCCGCGUGAGUGAUGAAGGCCUUAGGGUUGUAAAGCUCUUUUACCCGAGAUGAUAAUGACGGUAUCGGGAGAAUAAGCUCCGGCUAACUCCGUG